rnacentral:lncRNA from 1 species
CCAGGAGUUCACAGCUAGCCUGGGCAACAGAGCAAGACUUCGCCUCUUAAAAAAAAAAAAUCACCUUCUGAGGAUAUGUGAGAGACCCUGUGAGUGUGUCACCUGUAUGCUCGAGGGAAUGACCCACUCCUCCCAGCGAGGCACAUCACACCAGAUUCUGCUAUCCAAGGAUAGAGCAAGGGAUGUGCUGGUAACUCCCCUUAGACUGUAUGGGAAAGGUACAGACUUUCAGAUUGUAAUUCAUCAACGUCGAUUUUAGUCCAAUUUGGUGAAGGAGAGUAGAUUAAAAGCAGAGAAAAGAUUAGGCUCUCUCACAAAUCUCUCUCUUAAAAGACAUUCAAGGUUGCAACACCUAGGAGGGUAAGUUCAUGGGACUAGCAGUUAGGUUCCCGCAAAGCUGGAAGGAGCCACCUUAUUUUUUAGCUUUAUUGAGACCUAAGUCAGCAUCCGACCAUUUAGGUUGUCCAAGCCAGUGUUUUUAGUGUGUUCACAGAGUUGUGCAGCCAUAGUCAGUUUAGAACAUUUUCACCACCCCAAAAACAAGUCUCUGCCUGUUAAGUAGUCUCUCCCCAUUCCCCCAACCCCCAGCCCCUGGAACCUCUAACCUGCUUUCUGUCGCUCUGCAUUUCCCUGUUCUGGAAAUUUCACGUGAAAGGAAUCAUACGGUGCAUGGUCUGGGUGCCUGGCUUCUGUCACUCAGCAUGAUGGUGCUUUGGUGGCGUGUCCGUGGGGUCAUCCAUGGUGUGGCUCGUCCGUGUCAUGGCCUGUUUCCGCGCCUCGCUCCCGCUGCGGGUUUCACGGCCUUGCUCCCUCUGAGGGUUUCACUGCCUUGCUCCCGCUGCGGGUUUCACGGCCUUGCUCCCUCUGCGGGUUUCACCGCCUUGCUCCCGCUGCAGGUUUCACGGCCUUGCUCCCUCUGUGGCUGAGACCCCACUGUAUGGACAGGUCACCCUGUGUUCAUCGGUUGGUUCAUCAGUUGAUGGACAUCGGGGUUGUUUCCACCUCCUGGCCACUGUGAAUGAUGCCGCUGCGAAUGCUCACAUACAAGUUUCUGUGAGGUCACCUGGAUUCACUGCAGCCCGGCAGUUCCUCAGAGGCGUCAACAUAGAGUUGCCCUAGGACCAUCAGUGCCGAGGCUGAAAGGAAUAAGAGCGGACACCCUCGUCUUGUUCCUGACCUUAGGGGGAGGUGCCCAGUGUUCCGCAUUGAAUGUGACUUCAGCUGUGGGUUUUCCUAAACGCCCCUCAUCUGGUUGAAGCCCUAGUGUUUCUUUCUCACAUCAGAGGCAAAUGCAUUGGGGUGGGUCUGGUUUGGACAAUAAAUUUCCUCUGGUUUGGACCAAGAAAAACAGAGUUCUUUGACCGCUAACAUAUAUGUAAAAAGAAAGUUUGUAAAAACAAGAGUUAAAAUGCUUCUAACAGUGUGGUCAUCACUGCACAGGACACUGGAAUUGGCAUUCGGGGUUGUGUCUGUCCAUGUGGUUUCGUUGUAUGUCAUGUGCUCUCAGCUCAGACAGAGACAUCCAAUUGACUUCUGACUUGGGGCAUUUAAACUUCAUACCACAGCUUUAUUUAGAGGACUUAUUUAUUGUAUUUUCCACUGUUUUUAUUUAAAAGUUGUAUAAAAAUUGUUAGGGCUGGUUUUGAUAUAGAAAAAUCAUUAUGACUGGUUUUGCUAAGUCCAUACACCUUUGUGGUCUGGGGAGCGGUGAGUGCUGAAGCAAAGGAAUGUCUGCAGAAACAAACAAGGGUGUUCUCUCAGCUUCAGAGACUGAUGAAGCAGGAUGAAGUGGGCUCCCGGGCAGAGAGUACUUGGAGAGAGAGUGGCCGCACAGUGCUCGAGCUGGGGCUGUGUGUACGACCGGCAGGAUCACGUGCUGAGCCUUGGGGGACUCAGCUGGGACCAUUAGAAGCUCUGGGGCCUGCUCCACCCAUUCUGACUGGUGCUGCCCUCAGGAAACCAUCUCUGCCUGAAACCCAUUAGGGCCAGGGAGAGUUGUCUGGCUGGAAAGGAAGAAGACGGAUGCUGGUGGUUUUUUGUCUUUCGCUUGUUGUUUUAGAGCCACUGAGAAGAUGACGGAGCCCUGCGACCAGGAACCUGACUCUUCAGCUCAAAUCUUGGUUUGAAAGGGGGACUUCUCUGUGCCCCUGUUGUCGGCAUGCCAUGGUAGAGAAUGGAUGGCCCACGCAGCUGGCCCCUCAUGAGACCCCAGCCAUCUCAUUCCACUGGGAGCCACGUCAGGACGAAGGAGGACUGGGAGGGGCGUCUGGCUGCGUGGUGUGGGGCCUGCAGUGUUGUGGCACACGCAGCUUCAGCCAAACAUCUAGCCCUGUACCUAGAACUAAGAAAUAAAACUAUAACAUCAGAUUUAAAAGUUCUCUGGGAACAUUUGUCCUGCCCAAAAUAGUAACUUGUCAUUUUUAAAAGAAUAAAACAGAGCUUUGAUAAGCCCCGUGGAUGCACCUGACACGAGAGAAUCAAUGGUGCAGGUGGAUUUGGGCUCAAGGUGGUUUUCAACACCCAGGUGAUGUCUAGGUGACUGGAAAGGGUGUCUGUUGGACUUGCACCUUUUUUCCCUGUGGAAGCUAUUUUUAUGCAGUUUUGUAUUUGUUCUCAGAACAAAUUGGCCAAAAACACUACCUUUAAGUGUGACUUGAUUUUUAGUGUACAUUUUCAGAUGUUAUGGGAAAUGCAUUCACAGUUGAGGUGUCAAAGCAGGGGAAGAUGGCUUCCUUGGCAAUAACAAGCAAAGGCAAACAUGUUUAUUUUUGUAUCUGUAAAAGCUGGUCGCUCUUUAAGUGUAGUUCCAGCAUCUAAAGUGGACACAGAACCUGUUCUUCAGGGCCUGUCACACCCUCACUGUCCAUGUGAGAGUUUGUCCCUCCUUGUGGAUACUGGGGGCAGGAGCUGCCUUCAGGCACACAGGCAUCAGCUGCCACCCUUCAGGGAGGGCUGGGGGCCAGUGGGCAAGUGGCUGCUGUUCCUCAGAGCAGCUCGUCAAAGGCAGCCCAGUUGGUCACAGGCAUUUUGGGAGGAGGAGACAGAAGUUCAAGGUCAAAGACAAGGUCGCAGUUGUGGAAGUGGGAGGGGCCCAGAGCACUGUGGGUGAGCAGCUGGGGAGCUUGGGGUGAGACUCUGCUGGGCCCUACCCAGCUGUGUUGCUUCCCUGCUUUCUGCCUCAGUUUCUUGCGUAACAAAAGCAGGUGGCAAGAUGAGGAGUUGAACACGAGGCCUGCGAGAGCUCUGAACUCUGCAAAGGGCUUCUCCACUGGAAACGUGUUGUGUGCUGCAGCCCUGGGUCUGUUUGAAAUGCAGGUUCUAUCAGCGGGGCUGGGCUGCUUCCCUCCCAGGGACAGGUCUACCGGGCAGCCUUGGGCAGUGGAUCUCUGAGGUGCUUCAUCCAGCUGCCUGUCCCCACACAUGCUCUGCACAGGGGGAGAGGACGCGAGGAAUGGGGAGCCGAUGCCCAUCAGGAAGGCCAGGAGCUGAAAGCAGCUUCCAGCCAGGAAGGAGGGAAGGGCCAGGCUCCAGGUUGGCAGCAGAGAGAAGCUCUUCCCCAAGCAGGAGGCAGGGGCACAGUCGCUGAUGAGGGAGGAUGGGGAGGAGACCCUCCUUGUUGGGAGAGGGGAGGUAGAUCCGAUCUGCUGAGUUUAGGGGAAGGGCACACCUACCGGACUUUGGAAGCAGAGAUGUAGGGUUGCUCCCUCCCUUUGAGACCUGUCACCAGCUGGCCGCAGCGCUGUAUGGAGAUGAGGCCUUCUUGAGGGCUCACAGCGGCAUGUCACCGUGUCCCUGGUGACCUGGGUGUGCAAUGCACCCAAGCACGCAGGGUCCCCCGGUGCCCAGAGCGUGAUGCCUGCCUUGGCGUGUGUGGCAUCGGGACCACAGCUUCCGCAGACAUCCCAGCUGGGGACAUCGGCUGACUUGGCUGAGGGACCAGGGGACAGACACCACCUCUCCUAUCCCCCAGGGGCGUGUGACCUGGGGUCCCUGGCAUGCUUGGUGCACACACCAGUCUACGGUCAGUGUACGCAGGGCUUGUCUGUGGGUGUCAUUGCCACACAGACUGAGCCUUCAGGGUGGCGCCCCUUCCUGGCCCACCCCCGCAGGCUGCUUCUCCGGUCGCAGCCCAUGUUCUAAUGUCGAGAUCGCGCGUGAGGUUCAGACCUUUGAACAGCCUGACUGUAGGAGCCGCCUUCCAGCCCGCUGGAAACGUGCGUGUGAGGCCGGGUUCUUACCCUCAGCACUGCUGACGUUCUGCGCUGGACAUUUCUUUGCUGUGGGGCAUCUGCAUGUGGAGAGCUAUCGGUGCCCCGGCCUCUGCUGUCUAGAUACCAGGAGCUUCCCCCCAACUUGUGCCAAUUAGAAUGUCUCCAGACAUCACCACAUGUCUGCUGGGGGCAGAACCACGGGGCUAAGUUGUGGCUGUCCCCUGUGGUGGGCUCUCUGUUGUGAUGAGGAAGGGCUGGGCCUGCAGGUGGACGUCCGGCCCCCUGACAAAGCUUGUAUGAGGGGACCCAAGAGCCUGUGGUGCCUCUGCCAAGCUCACUGGCAGGAACUGGGGGUCAGGCUCACUUCCUCCAGGGAGUGGGGAGCAGCCCUGCCAUUUGCGGUGCCAUAGAGACAGUUAAGCUUGAGAAUGUGAUUGCCGUUCUGAAAACACCCAGAGGCCGCAGUGUGCCCGGCAGAGAGCAAGGACCCCUGACCACCGGCUGGGUUGGUCCUGGGAGGGCCCCGGUGAUACCUGGGGGGUGUACACCAUGGAGCAGAGCCUCCUCCAGUGUAGCCUGGGAGCCUCUGUGAGGCCACAGCCCCCAGGAAGAGCACAGUGCUGCAUUCCCAGGUGCUGCCGGCUGCGCCCCUCCCAGCUGCGUGUCCUCACCUGCCGGCCCCAGCUGUCGCUGCCCACGCCCUGCCUGCCUCUCCUGACAGGAACUUCCCAAGCAGAGGCCUCAGGUAGCAGGCGCUCCUUGUCCCCUCUGCCACCUGGGCUGCUGAGGGUGUAUCACCAGGAGUGAGCUCAGGACCUGGACACCCAAGCCCAGGUGAGCAGCUGACACACCAAUGGCCAUUCCCGUCCCGGGCCCUGGUUCACCCAGCCAGGCCUCUGUGCCACUUUUCCACGGGACAUUCAGCUUCCCCUUUCCUCUCCUCUCUGCAGACCACUGAACUUUCGUUCUGAGGCACAAUGGGGCGUUCCCGUCAGGCUCUGCCCCCCUAGACAGAGGUGAGACCAGCUACGGCACAGCUCUUGGCAGCUGGGUGCCCCUCUGAGAUGGGCCAGGCAGCACGCUCAUGGCACCUUCAUGUGGCUUCAAUUCUCUGGCCAUUGCAUUCCUAACCAAAAUAUAAACUUCAGGAUCGUUUUGGAUUUUGCAUUACCCAAACCAUUUGCUUUUGAUAAUAACAGUGUCUUGGCAGAGUUCUUGCUCUUGGACUCCGUGUGGUGAUGGUGACCGCCGUGCACGGAACCCAUGGCAUGGGCAUCCGCCACUGUGCUUGUUAACUGAGGAGGAGGUGCAGUCGCUGCCCGGAAGGCACAGGCAGUGGCCAGGGGCAGCAGUGAGACCACACCGUUGUGAAACUCAUGCUCCUAACAACUCGCCUGCACCUCUCCUCUUGGCUCUGCAAGUCUUUGCAUGGAACAGCUGAUUUAACGUGGGCCCAGGGCAGCAGGGGACCCUAAAGCAAGCCUCCUGGGUGGGGGGAGGCAGUGGCAUGUCACUGGGACUCCCCUGUCCUGUUGGCCUUCUGUGGUGGAUUUGGGGGCCAGUGGCCCGCUGAGGGCAGGACACACCCUGGCAAGGGAGCGGGCGUGGGCGGGAGGGCAUGUUGCUGCAGUCUAGGGCAUGUGAGCUUGGCCUCCAGAGAUGAGCUCAUCCUCCCUGGGCCUUGCUGAGCGUCUGAGGCUUCUUCACCGAGGCUCACCUGAGUGACUUCAGCGCCGGGGGUUUACCAAGGAAAAACGUUCCCCUCCAGUUUGAAAAAAAAAAAAAAAA